rnacentral:sRNA from 1 species
CUCGACCUCAGGGUCGAGUGCCCUCAUCUCCAUCACCAGACCAUCACUCGAUCACUUCACUCGACCAUGAGGUCGAGUGUCUUCACCUCCAUCAUCAGACCACCACUCGACCUCGUCACUCAACCUGGAAGUCGAGUAUCUUCUUACACCACUCGACUGCAUACUCGAUGACAAGCUUCAGAGCCUUCUUCAUUCUGCACUCAACCAGACACUCGAGCACAAGGAAGAAAAGAGGACUCCAGCUAUUCACUCGACCACAUGGGUCGAGUACAGUUCUUAACCCGUCCCAAUACUUCGUCGUUUUGAGUAUUAGGGUUUCGGGAUAUUUGGCUAUAAGUAGCAUGUACUUCUCAUUUUCGCAGACAAGAAGUUUUUAUCUAGUUUUAUUUCCGCAGACCUUGUGUUCUAGACCUUUUGUAAUCCGGAUUUCUCUUUAUCUAUUCAGUAUUCAGCUUUUGUUCUAGAUUUCGUUUACUGUUGUUCAUUCUGUUAUCAUCCUGCUGUUACACUGUUGUUAUCAUGUUUUCAACUUGUUCAACGUUUAUGCUUUCUGUUAUGAUGUCUGAGUAGUGAAUAGGUUUCUGAGGAUGGGUUAGAGUAGUGUAGAAUUCUCAGUAUGCUAGGUGAUUGAGUAUUGGUUGAUAGAUCCCUUCUGGAUUAGUUGUUCUUAAUGCCUAUUGCUUUCUGAUCAACUGGAAUUUGAGCCCAGACAUUUCCGCGCCCAAAAGGUGUUCGAUGAAAUGUCUGAACCACUAAUUCCAGAGAUUCGUGACCCUGUACCAAGGUAUUGGUUGUAGGGAGCGUUUUGGCUUUAACUUGUUGAUUCGUAAUGCCUGUUAGGUUAGCUCUCGUCAAUGGUGAUUGAGUCUGGGACUAGGUUAGCUUGAGAGUCUCUGUUGCGGUGGCACUUAGAUUUGGUUGAUGAACUUGUUGUCUAGGGUUAAUUUAUUGAGCAUGUCAAUCACCUGUAAACUGAGGAAACGAAACUACUCAAUUACCCCAUCCUUAGGAAUUCUUUAUCUGAUUGAUUUUAUUGUUUACUCUACUGCUGUGUACUGCUAUCCUGUCAUCUGUUGCUUAGUUUCUGCAAUUCUUUACUGUUACUCGACCUCAUACUCGACCACCCAGUUGUCUGGCAACAGACUGUGCAGUCGAGUAUCCCUAUUACAUUAUCUGUCUGUUACUCGACCUGUCACUCGACCACACCUAGUGCUCUGCAAAGAGCUGUGUUGGUCGAGUGUUUAUUUAUUUCUGCUUGAUUUUCUGUUUUCUGCAUGUUCACUUAGGACUGUUAGAACGCACCAAAACCUGUUAUUGCUUGGCUUGACUUAGUGACUUCUGAUCACAUCUUGAUUGUUAGUAUCACACCCAUUUGGAUUGACAAUCUAAAAUACUACAACGAUAUGAUUGGUGUUUUAGGAUAAUUGACUAAAAACCUUUUAUCAAUAACAAUCCUAAUAUUAGCUAGAUCUACAAUUCAUCUAUCUCCAGAGACAAUUCCUUAGACCCGACGCUUUAAUCACUUGAAUCUACACAUCGUUUACUUGCUUAUUUGUCUUUU